rnacentral:rRNA from 1 species
AAUAGAUACCCGGUAGUCCACGCCGUAAACGAUGAAUACUAGGUGUAGGGGUUGUCAUGACCUCUGUGCCGCCGCUAACGCAUUAAGUAUUCCGCCUGGGGAGUACGGUCGCAAGAUUAAAACUCAAAGGAAUUGACGGGGGCCCGCACAAGCAGCGGAGCAUGUGGUUUAAUUCGAAGCAACGCGAAGAACCUUACCUAGACUUGACAUCUCCUGAAUUACCCUUAAUCGGGGAAGCCCUUCGGGGCAGGAAGACAGGUGGUGCAUGGUUGUCGUCAGCUCGUGUCGUGAGAUGUUGGGUUAAGUCCCGCAACGAGCGCAACCCUUAUUGUUAGUUGCUACCAUUUAGUUGAGCACUCUAGCGAGACUGCCCGGGUUAACCGGGAGGAAGGUGGGGAUGACGUCAAAUCAUCAUGCCCCGUUAUGUCUAGGGCUACACACGUGCUACAAUGGCUGGUACAGAGAGAUGCUAAACCGUGAGGUGGAGCCAAACUUUAAAACCAGUCUCAGUUCGGAUUGUAGGCUGAAACUCGCCUACA